rnacentral:lncRNA from 1 species
AUUUUGAUCAAAUAUCCAAAUACAAGGCUAGUAACUUUCGGCCGAAGCUUUUCUAAAAGUGUUGUUUCAGUGAAAUUACCGAAGAAAAAUGUUCAUUAAAUUUAGACAUCGCAUCCGUCUUGUCAUUUUUUAAAAAAUUAACGUGAUAAUUGAAUUUUAGUGGUGCUGAGAAAUCGUUAUGUUAUAUGUAGAAGCUAGAUAAUAUGGCAGCUGAAUCAAUUAUCACAUUCUUGUGUCAAGGAGUAAUUCGAGGAGUAAUUCGAUUGAAGCGGAAAUUGAAGUUCAGUAAUUUUGUAACAAUCUUUUGGGAGGGUAAUUUUAUGAGCAACCUGAAAUAAAUGUACCACUGAAGGUAGGUAGGUACCUGCUGACAGCAGGGUAAUUGGGUACUUGUGGGAAUUCAAUGGCGGGUAGAGAGUAUGCAGUUGGAAUUAGUUUUCUUGGUUGGGUCAGCAUUGAAAGGAGUAAGGUACAUUGAAUGGUACACUCAGAGAGGCAAGUUUGUGUGUUGGUGGGUGAAUCCAAUUUUUUUUUUUGUUUUUGUUUUUGUUUUUUGUUUUUGUUUUUUGUUUAACAGUAUUUUGCAGUACAUGACUCUCUGUCCAGCUCUGCAGCCAUGUUUAGUACGACUGACGGGAGCUUUCUACACAAUAAUCAUCUAAAAUUUUAUUAUGUACGAAAUAAUUCUAUUAAAUUUAUAUUUAAUAAAUUAACUCUCAAAAUGCGAUGAGUUAUUCACCGCAUUCUGAAAGUCUCUAAGAUCUUUUAAAGACAGUGAAUCAUUCACCUUCUUUUUCAUAAUUUUUUAAAAAAGAGAAAAAAAUAAGGUUGUUAAAAUUGUACGUAGAUUAUAGGAAAAAAAAGAGGUUGUUAGGAUUGUGUGUAGAAUAUUAAAAUUUUUGUUUGAUUGUUAGAAUCGAAUAGAUAGAUUAUUAAAAUUUUUUAGAUUAUUAGAAGGGUUAAUUUUAUACAGGUCCCCACAAACAUAGUGAAUAGUAGAUAUAUUUCUGCAAAGUUCAACUUUUAUAAGUUAUUCCUGUAAAAGUCCUAAUGUAUGCAGAUAUGUCCCUGCCAUUAAUAUCCGUUAGAGAAAUCUAAUGUCCCUGCCAUUAAUAUCCGUUAGAGAAAUCUAAUUAACCACAACUAAAAUACUUAACCAUGAUCAGUUAAUAAGGUAAAAUGACAUUUUUUCCCUUCUGCCUCUUCCGCUUCCUCUUCUUCCUCUUCUUCCUCUUCUUCAUCUUCUUCUUCUUCCUCUUCUUCUUUUUCUUCAUCUUCCUCUCUUGCUUCUUCUUCUUCCUCUUCUUCUUCGUAUCCUCAUUUUCCUCUUCCUUUUCUUCUCCUUCUUCUUCUUCUUCGUCAUCGUCAUUGAUGAUUCGAUCGUUGUCCCCGUCAUGGUGCCCGCGUGGGCCGUCGUCAUGGGCGUCUCCAACGGCAUCGGCCGCGCCUUCGCCUUCUGCCUCUUCCUAGUCCUCAUUGGCCGUAACCCCGACAAGUUCCGCAAGGUCGCCGUCGCUGCCGCCGCCAUCUGCUCCCACAGCCUGAAGAGGAAGAGGAAGGGAAGAGGGUAAGGGCAAAAUUAUAAUUUCACAACUCUACUGUUAAAAAAUUAACAAUUCUCUAACGAAUACUAACUAGAGGGACAUAUCUGCAUACAUUAGGACUUUUAUAGGGAUAAUUUAUGAAAGUUGAACUUUGCAGAGAUAUAUUUAUUAUUCACCAUGUUUGUGGGGGCCUGUAUGAAAUUAACCCUUAUUUAUAUGAAUAUAUUAUUUGGAUUUUCAAAUUGUUAAGAUUAUAUGUGAUGUUUGAUUAUUACGAUUGUAUGGAUAGAUUAUUAAGAUCUUUUUUAUUGUUAGGAUUGUAUUGAUAGAUUAUUAGAAUUUUCAGAUUGUUAAGAUUAUAUGUCAUUUGUUAAAAUAUUUAUAUAGUUGUUAGGAUUGUAGAAAGAAACAAUAAACAAAUGAAAGGCGGUGAAUGAUUCACCGUUUUUCUGAGAAAUUAGAAUCUUUAUAAAAGGAGUGAAUAAUUCACUGUCUUUAAGAGAUUAAUUUUUUAAAUAUAGUUUUGACAAGAUUAUUUUGCGUUUAAAAGGUUAUUUUAUAAAAAAGUU